rnacentral:rRNA from 1 species
CACGAGGACACGGCUGGCGGCGUGGAUUAGGCAUGCAAGUCGAACGGUAGGAUACCUUCGGGUAUCUGAGAGUGGCGAACGGGUGAGUAACACGUAGGUGAUCUACCCUCAAGAUUGGGACAACCCAGGGAAACUUGGGCUAAUACCGGAUGAAAGCAGCAGUGAUGUUGUUUGAAAGGUGGCGUAAGCUGCCGUUUGGGGAUGAGCCUGCGCUCUAUUAGUUAGUUGGCGGGGUAAAGGCCCACCAAGGCGAUGAUAGAUAGGCGGCCUUAACGGGUGGUCGCCCACACUGGGAUUGAGAUACGGCCCAGACUCCCACGGGAGGCAGCAGUCGAGAAUAGUCUACAAUGGCCGAAAGGCUGAUAGUGCGACGCCGCGUGAACGAAGAAGCCCUUCGGGGUGUAAAGUUCUUUUAUAUGUGAGCAGUGCUUUCUAUGUGAACAGCAUGGGGAGAGAGAUAUUAGCAUAUGAAUAAGCAACGGCUAACUCCGUG